GACGAACGCUGGCGGCGUGCUUAACACAUGCAAGUCGAACGGAAAGGCCCUGCUUUUGUGGGGUGCUCGAGUGGCGAACGGGUGAGUAACACGUGAGUAACCUGCCCUUGACUUUGGGAUAAAUUCAGGAAACUGGGGCUAAUACCGGAUAGGAGCUCCUGCUGCAUGGUGGGGGUUGGAAAGUUUCGGCGGUUGGGGAUGGACUCGCGGCUUAUCAGCUUGUUGGUGGGGUAGUGGCUUACCAAGGCUUUGACGGGUAGCCGGCCUGAGAGGGUGACCGGCCACAUUGGGACUGAGAUACGGCCCAGACUCCUACGGGAGGCAGCAGUGGGGAAUAUUGCACAAUGGGCGGAAGCCUGAUGCAGCAACGCCGCGUGCGGGAUGACGGCCUUCGGGUUGUAAACCGCUUUCGCCUGUGCCGAAGCGUGAGUGACGGUAAUGGGUAAAGAAGCACCGGCUAACUACGUG
rnacentral:rRNA from 1 species